rnacentral:rRNA from 1 species
AUGAGUACAAUUUAAACCACUUAACAGAGUAUCCAUUGGAGGGCAAGUCUGGUGCCAGCAGCCGCGGUAAUUCCAGCUCCAAUAGCGUAUAUUAAAGUUGUUGCAGUUAAAAAGCUCGUAGUUGAAUUUCGGAGGAGAGAUCCCGGUCUCGGUUCUGCCUUGUACUGGGAGCCUCGAAUCUUUUUUCUGGGGAAGCGGGGUGCCCUUCACUGGGUGCUCUGGGGAACCAGGACGAUUACCUUGAGAAAAAUAGAGUGUUCAAAGCAGGCUUUUGCUUGAAUACGUUAGCAUGGAAUAAUAAAAUAGGACUUUGGUUCUAUUUUGUUGGUUUUAAGGACCAAUGUCAUGAUGAAUAGGGACAGUUGGGGGCAUUCGUAUUCCGAAGCUAGAGGAGG